AGCGAACGCUGGCGGCAGGCCUAACACAUGCAAGUCGAACGAACCCUUCGGGGUUAGUGGCGGACGGGUGAGUAACACGUGGGAACGUGCCUUUAGGUUCGGAAUAACUCAGGGAAACUUGUGCUAAUACCGAAUGUGCCCCUCGGGGGAAAGAUUUAUCGCCUUUAGAGCGGCCCGCGUCUGAUUAGCUAGUUGGUGAGGUAAUGGCUCACCAAGGCUACGAUCAGUAGCUGGUCUGAGAGGAUAACCAGCCACAUUGGGACUGAGACACGGCCCAAACUCCUACGGGAGGCAGCAGUGAGGAAUCUUGCGCAAUGGGCGAAAGCCUGACGCAGCCAUGCCGCGUGGAUGAUGAAGGUCUUAGGAUUGUAAAAUCCUUUCACCGGUGAAGAUAAUGACUGUAGCCGGAGAAGAAGCCCCGGCUAACUUCGUGCCAGCAGCAGCCGCGGUAA
rnacentral:rRNA from 1 species